rnacentral:rRNA from 1 species
CUUGAAGAACUGUGAUGCCAUUUAUUUGGUGUUGCAGGGAAACAGGACUGUUACUUCUGAAAAAAUUAGAGUCGUUUAAAGCAGGCUAACGCUUGAAUACAUUAGCAUGGAAUAAUGAAAUAGGACGUUUGAUCCUAUUUUGUUGGUUUCUAGGAUUGACGUAAUGAUUAAUAGGGAUAGUUGGGGGCAUUAGUAUUCAAUUGUCAGAGGUGAAAUUCUUGGAUUUAUUGAAGACUAACUACUGCGAAAGCAUUUGCCAAGGAUGUUUUCAUUAAUCAAGAACGAAAGUUAGGGGAUCGAAAACGAUCAGAUACCGUCGUAGUCUUAACCAUAAACUAUGCCGACUAGGGAUCGGAUGAUGUUAAUUUUUUAAUGACUCAUUCGGCGCCUUACG